rnacentral:snRNA from 1 species
UUGGGGGCGCAACGCCCUCGAC